rnacentral:misc_RNA from 1 species
UCCUCCUUACAGAGGCAGUUUGUCUCGAGUUCCCGGCUCUACCCGCUGGUAACAAGACAUGAGGGUUGCGCUCGUUGCGGGACUUAACCCAACAUUUCACAACACGAGCUGACGACAGCCAUGCACCACCUGUGCACCACCCUCGCGGGCGACCGGCUUUCACCGGCUUGCAGGUGCAUGUCAAGCCCUGGUAAGGUUCUUCGCGUUGCAUCGAAUUAAGCCACAUGCUCCACCGCUUGUGCGGGCCCCCGCCAAUUCCUUUGAGUUUCAGCCUUGCGGCCGUACUCCCCAGGCGGGGCACUUAUCGCGUUAGCUACGGCACUGACGGGGUCGCUCCCCCCAGCACCUAGUGCCCAUCGUUUACGGCGUGGACUAC